UGGGGAAUAUUGCACAAUGGGCGCAAGCCUGAUGCAGCCAUGCCGCGUGUAUGAAGAAGGCCUUCGGGUUGUAAAGUACUUUCAGCGGGGAGGAAGGGAGUAAAGUUAAUACCUUUGCUCAUUGACGUUACCCGCAGAAGAAGCACCGGCUAACUCCGUGCCAGCAGCCGCGGUAAUACGGAGGGUGCAAGCGUUAAUCGGAAUUACUGGGCGUAAAGCGCACGCAGGCGGUUUGUUAAGUCAGAUGUGAAAUCCCCGGGCUCAACCUAGGAACUGCAUCUGAUACUGGCAAGCUUGAGUCUCGUAGAGGGGGGUAGAAUGCCAGGUGUAGCGGUGAAAGGCGUAGAGAUCGGGAGGAAUACCGGUGGCGAAGGCGGCCCCCUGGACGAAGACUGACGCUCAGGUGCGAAAGCGUGGGGAGCAAACAGG
rnacentral:rRNA from 1 species